CCUCUGUCACAAGUUCUAACUGUCACCAGGUCCCUCUGUUACCAGGUCCCACUGUUACCAGGUCCCUCUGUCACAAGUUCUAACUGUCACCAGGUCCCUCUGUCACCAGGUCCCUCUGUUACCAGGUCCCACUGUUACGAGGUCCAACUGUUCCCAGGUCCCUCUGCUACCAGGUCCCUCUGUUACUAUUACCAGGUCCCAUGGAUUGCACUGUUGUCCCCAGGUUGCACUGUUAGUGGUACCAGGUCCCACUGUCAUCAGGUCCCUCUAUUUCCAGGUCCCACUUUACCAGGUCACUCUGUUACCAGGCUGGAGUGCAGUGGCGCAAUCUCAGCUCACCACAACUUCCGCCUCCUGGGUUCAGGCAAUUCUCCUGCCUCAGCCUCCUGAGUAGCUGGGAUUACAGGCACGCGCCACCAUGCCCAGCUAAUUUUUUGUAUUUUUAGUAGAGACGGGGUUUCACCAUGUUGACCAGGAUGGUCUCGAUCUCUUGGCCUCGUGAUCCACCCGCCUCGGCCUCCCAAAGUGCUGGGAUUACAGGCUUGAGCCAGCGCGCCCGGCUCUGUAAUUCUGUUUAUACUUAGUCUGAGAAAGGCAAAACUCAUGGAUGCUGAUGGAAACUGGGAAACGGUUUGACUGUAGGGGUGGAGAUUGACUGGAAUUGGGCAGGAGAGAACCUUCUGGAGCCCUGGAGAUGCUGUCUUGAUUGUGCUGCUGGUCCUGGGGUUAUAAAGUCACCGAGACUCAUCAGAUUGUGUCUUUGAGCACACGUGCCUUCUGCCCCAUGUAAAAUGUCCUUCCAAGCAAGUGGUAAUAAGGAUUCACCUGAACGUCCACAGCCACCAGGACGUGGUGUGGACGUCCUCGAUCCAGCCACCAGGGCUCGCCGGGAUGUUCCCGCCAGUCCCAGCACCGCAGUCUUACUCCACCGCGUGAGGUCAGCAGCCGUCAGCGCCCGCCCCAGGGUCUGAAUGUGCUCCUGUUUGUGUAACUCACCCUGAGGAUGCCCUGAGAACAGAGUGGGAGCUGUCUCUUCCGCCAAGUUCAAAAGGCCCUUCCCUGCCUCUCCACGUUCAUGUUGGCGGCGGUGAAAAUGACCGUGCAGGCCCUGGGCUGUCUUCCUGUUUAAUGCAGUCUUGAUCACCUGACGUGAAGAGCCCAUUGUGCCCAGCACCUGAUUUAUGAGGUGGAAGCUGCAGGCCACCAAUGGCCACACCUUGGUCAAAAGAAGACCAGAGGAGGAGGUGACCAGAGACAGGCCCGGGCCGGGCUCCACUCUGAUGGGCAGAGGCGCCCUUGCAGCCAAGCCCCUUGUGCAAAGUCAUCUCCGGGCUGC
rnacentral:lncRNA from 1 species